rnacentral:rRNA from 1 species
GAUGAACGCUGGCGGCGUGCCUAAUACAUGCAAGUCGAGCGAACUGACGAGGAGCUUGCUCCUUUGACGUUAGCGGCGGACGGGUGAGUAACACGUAGGUAACCUACCUAUAAGACUGGGAUAACUUCGAGAAACCGGAGCUAAUACCGGAUAAUAUUUCGAACCGCAUGGUUCGAUAGUGAAAGAUGGCUUUGCUAUCACUUAUAGAUGGACCUGCGCCGUAUUAGCUAGUUGGUAAGGUAACGGCUUACCAAGGCAACGAUACGUAGCCGACCUGAGAGGGUGAUCGGCCACACUGGAACUGAGACACGGUCCAGACUCCUACGGGAGGCAGCAGUAGGGAAUCUUCCGCAAUGGGCGAAAGCCUGACGGAGCAACGCCGCGUGAGUGAUGAAGGUCUUCGGAUCGUAAAACUCUGUUAUUAGGGAAGAACAAACGUGUAAGUAACUGUGCACGUCUUGACGGUACCUAAUCAGAAAGCCACGGCUAACUACGUG